GCUUCUGUCCAAAAUGCGGCCUAAAGAGGCACAAGGUGGGUGAAUGAAUAUUUUCUCGUUCCGCGUAUAUAACCGAUCAUCACAAUCACAGGUGAUGUUUUAAUAUACUGUAAGUGCGUCAUCAGGCCUUCAUGUGUUUAAGUCAAGACAACAGGUGAAGAGAAAUUCUGCCAAAAAUAACGACAUACAAAUGAUUGGCCAUAAUGAAGCAGUGGAGGAUGGAGUUCUUUACGCACAGCGAUUCCAGAUGUGCCAAAUGUCCUCUUCUGAUCACCAGUAAAUCCACUCCUUCCUCUGCUGAUCAUAAGCCCUCUCAGCAGCUGGUGUCAGAGUGAAAUUGGACGAAUUUCGAGAUUUUCAGUCUUGUUAUUCAUCCCCUUAUCAAUAUGUCAUCUGGAGAUUGGACACAUCAGAAUGACUUGAGGGGGAGAAAUCAUCUACUGCCAUGUUCGCUUCCCAUCAAACUGUGAGACUGGCACAAAUAGAGGUCUGUACAGACUGUUCAGGGCACAAGGAGUCAUUGUUGAGUUCUGCAGAGGUUUUAAUGAAGACUAGUCCCUUUGUGAUUAUUUAUGCCAAUGCAGUUGAGAUCCGCACAAAGAUUCUGAUGCGAUGGAGGAUAAGUAAGGAUUUUGUAUAUAACUGUGAGCACUGAAUGCAUUUAGAUGGAAUUAGUUUUAAUACUGUACAGUAAAAAUCAAUAGCAGCUCUGUUGCUAAAUGGGAAAACUGUGAGUUUGUGGUUUGUGGGAAAAUAUGAGAAAAGAGAACAGAUGUGUUUGAGAAUAUCUAGUUUACUUUCUGUUAAGUACCUUAAAAAUCAUAAUCAUCCUAAUUAUUAAAUCUCAAAUGCCAUAAAUCUCAAACUUCACAAACUUUUCCAACUCCAGUGAAUAGUUCUUUAAAAGUAGAGCUGGGUAUUGAUACACAUUUUCUGAUUCGUAGCAUGAUUUUUGAUGAUUUAUGCUUUCCUUGCUCUCAGUUAGAGUUUGAUUCAGUUUAAUUGGAUUCCAAUUAAUUUUGUGUAUGUUUCAUUUACAGUGUCUAUUUUGCUUACAUAUGGUAAGGUGAUCCCUCUCUGCUAUGACUAUAAAUGAUAUAAAGAACCUUCUAAUUUGGUACAUUAUGAAAUUAACAACAGGGCCCAAACUCUGCAGUUCAUAUUCUGUUUAUUUAAAUAAACACCUAGAAAGUAACGUUCACCUCAGUUAUGAGCUCCCAUGCAACAGUAUAGAAAGGCUCUGAAUAAAAAUCAGGCAGCUUAUGAACAAAGAAUCAUUUGGUCAACAACCAGAAUCAGGUUACACUGAAUGCACCGUAUAUUUUUUGAUUCCCUGAGAAGAGAAAUAUGAUAAUGAAUUAGACUUUUGCAGUAGCAAUGCCACUGAGAAGCAAGAUGCUGAAGGAUCUUGGGAUUUUAAG